GAUGAAGAACGCAGCGAAAUGCGAUAAGUAAUGUGAAUUGCACAAUUCAGUGAAUCAUCGAAUCUUUGAACGCACCUUGCGCUCUUUGGUAUUCCGAAGAGCAUGCCUGUUUGAGUGUCAUGAAAAUAUCAACCUUGACUUGGGUUUUGUGCUCUAGUCUCGGCUUGGAAUUGGGUGCUUGCCGCUUUUACGAGCGGCUCACCUUAAAUGUAUUAGCUGGAUCUGUCUUUGAGACUUGGUUUGACUUGGCGUAAUAAGUAUUUCGCUAAGGACAUUCUUCGGAGUGGCCUCGUUUCUAGGACGCUUGUCCGCUUUCCAAUACAAGUUCCACCUCGUGGACAUGACUUUUUAUUAUCUGGACUCAAAUCAGGUAGGACUACCCGCUGAACUUAAGCAUAUCAAUAAGCGGAGGA
rnacentral:misc_RNA from 1 species